CGCGGCCUAUCAGCUUGUUGGUGGGGUAACGGCUCACCAAGGCGACGACGGGUAGCUGGUCUGAGAGGAUGGUCAGCCGGACUGGGACUGAGACACGGCCCAGACUCCUACGGGGGGCAGCAAUUAGGAAUCUUGCGCAAUGGGCGAAAGCCUGACGCAGCGACGCCGCGUGACCGAUGAAGUCCUUCGGGAUGUAAAGGUCUUUUGCGGGGGAAGAAGGAUGUGACGGUACCCCGCGAAUAAGCCCCGGCUAACUACGUGCCAGCAGCCGCGGUAAUACGUAGGGGGCGAGCGUUGUCCGAAUUUACUGGGCGUAAAGCGCGCGUAGGCGGGUUCUUAAGUCGGGGGUGAAAUCCCGAGGCUCAACCUCGGAACUGCCUCCGAAACUGGGAGCCUAGAGGCGCGGAGAGGGAAGUGGAAUUCCUGGUGUAGCGGUGAAAUGCGUAGAUAUCAGGAGGAACACCCGUGGCGAAGGCGGCUUCCUGGCCGUGUCCUGACGCUGAGGUGCGAAAGCUAGGGGAGCGAACGGGAUUAGAUACCCCGGUAGUCCUAGCCGUAAACGAUGGAUACUAGGUGUUAGUGGUAUCGACCCCACUAGUGCCGUAGCUAACGCAUUAAGUACCCCGCCUGGGGAGUACGG
rnacentral:rRNA from 1 species